rnacentral:rRNA from 1 species
AUACGGAGGGGGCUGGCGUUGUUCGGAAUUACUGGGCGUAAAGCGUACGUAGGCGGACUGAUCAGUUGGGGGUGAAAUCCCAGGGCUUAACCCUGGAACUGCCUUCAAUACUGUCAGUCUUGAGUUUGGGAGAGGUGAGUGGAAUUCCUAGUGUAGAGGUGAAAUUCAUAGAUAUUAGGAGGAACACCAGUGGCGAAGGCGGCUCACUGGCCCAUUACUGACGCUGAGGUACGAAAGCGUGGGGAGCAAACAGGAUUAGAGACCCCAGUAGUCC